ensembl:lncRNA
CUGCAUCAGACCGUACUCAGACAGGUUUCCAGUCUCUCCGUGAUCGGCGUGUGACACGAGCUGCUGAGCAUCAGGACAGGAUCUGACCAUCCGAUUGGCUGACAGCAGGAUGGUCAAAGGGUCAGCUGGUGUGACCUCACCGUUGUCCUAAGGCCCCUUGGAAGUUUGGUGAGGCCCUCAGAUGAGGGAAUUGUUUUUGUUUUUUUCGACUCAAAAAUUUGAUAGUAAAUUUCACAUUAUGUUUUUGGGGUUUUUUUUUAGUGCUGCUUUAGACUGCUGUUACUAAUUGUUAUCUGUGCCAUAAUGUGUGUGUGUGUGUGUGUGUGUUUACAGUGUUAGAGGUGCAGUGGUGGGCAGAGUGAAUGGAGGUCUGUGGGCUCUAGGUCGCCCUCUGGUGGAGGAUUGUGAACUGCAGCUGCUGGGUUUGGACUCACUGGAGGGCAGACAGCUGCAGGAGGAGAUCACGCCGUGUUUGGGCUUCAUGAGGAGUGUGUAUUGUGUCUCCUCUCCAUGCGCCCCGUGCCCUGUCUGGGAGAGCCUGCCCUCUGGGACACCUGUCAAUCACACCCGCUGACCGCCGCCCACCACAGUCAGUGACAGUGUUAUUUUGCCAGUAAAUAUAUAAUAUUGAAGUUUUUGUUUUUUUCUUAUACAUCAUCCGCCCAGAACUGCUUCCGUGUACAUCAGUGAGCGCAAGCUAGAUUCAAGUGAUUAUUACAUUUUGAAUAUGGAUAUGGAUAGCAUCGAGUCGCUACAGGAGGCCUUUGUACAGGAGGACUCUAGACUAACUUGCUGCACUGGUUGCACUGGUGCGCCUAACUUUUUUUCUUAGGUGCACCAGCACAAAGUUAGGUGCACCCAAAUUUUCGACCACAUCACAUUUAACACCACAGUUUUACAAGUUCACUUUUUUUUAAAUCGCUGUCCAUAUAGACAAUAUUGACUUGUAAAUGAUUAACUAACAAUCUGGUCAACAUAAAGUUCGUUAUUUGAAGCACAAUUCUACAAGAAAGGUAACUUACUGAAAAAGUGUUGGUGCUUAAAGGGCUUCACUGAGCUGAAAUUUAAACUAAACCAUCUCAAGAUAAAUGAAAUAAAAAGAAAAUAUAAUUUAAGUGUUUUAAGGGC